UACGUAGGGUGCGAGCGUUAAUCGGAAUUACUGGGCGUAAAGCGUGCGCAGGCGGCCUCUUAAGCCAGAUGUGAAAUCCCCGGGCUUAACCUGGGAACUGCGUUUGGAACUGGGAGGCUAGAGUGUGGAAGAGGGGGGUGGAAUUCCCGGUGUAGCAGUGAAAUGCGUAGAUAUCGGGAGGAACACCAAUGGCGAAGGCAGCCCCCUGGGCUAACACUGACGCUCAUGCACGAAAGCGUGGGGAGCAAACAGG
rnacentral:rRNA from 1 species